rnacentral:miRNA from 1 species
AGCAGGCUUCCCCAAACUCCGGCCCUCCAGAUGUUGCUGAACUACAACUCCCAUGAUUCCAUGAAUGAAAUAGGUAGGCUGAGAAUCAUGGGAGUUGUAGUUCAGCAACAUCUGCAGGGCCGGAGUCUGGGGAAGCCUGAUUUAAAGC